CGCGUAGGCGGAUAUUUAAGUCAGAUGUGUAAACUGUAGGCUUAACCUGGAGAUUGCAUCUGAUACUGGAUAUCUUGAGUGCAGGAGAGGACAGUGGAAUUCCUAGUGUAGCGGUGAAAUGCGUAGAUAUUAGGAGGAACACCAGUGGCGAAGGCGGCUGUCUGGACUGUAACUGACGCUGAGGCGCGAAAGCGUGGGGAGCAAACAGGAUUAGAUACCCUGGUAGUCCACGCUGUAAACGAUGGGUACUAGGUGUAGGGGGUAUCGACCCCUUCUGUGCCGGAGUUAACACAAUAAGUACCCCGCCUGGGGAGUACGGCCGCAAGGUUGAA
rnacentral:rRNA from 1 species